ACUCCUACGGGAGGCAGCAGUCGAGAAUCUUCACAAUGGGGGCAACCCUGAUGGAGCGACGCCGCGUGGAGGAUAAGGUCUUCGGAUUGUAAACUCCUGUCAUGUGAGAACAAGGUUGCAGGGUUAAUACCUUUGCAAAUUGAUGGUAUCACAAGAGGAAGAGACGGCUAACUCUGUGCCAGCAGCCGCGGUAAUACAGAGGUCUCAAGCGUUGUUCGGAAUCACUGGGCGUAAAGGGUGCGUAGGUGGCGUGGUAAGUCAGAUGUGAAAGCCC
rnacentral:rRNA from 1 species